AAAAAAACAAAACAAAACAAAAAUCAUGGAUCGAAAAAUAAGCAAUAUAUAUAUGAACACGAGAUUAAUCUUUAACAGAGAGGCUAGCUUUCUCAUCUGACACUACAAAGAACGUUGUUAAGCAGAGAUAAUGGAGAGGAAUCUCUGUCCAAAAGAGAAACUAUCAUGAAAAUGCAACCACUUUGGAAAGACUGAAGAGCUUAACAAUUCCUAAAAUUGAUAGCACUUGGUUUGAAAUACUCCAUCAAAAUCAAUAUUUUCAUCCAUAAAAUAUUUUCUCCAUUUUUAUAAAGUGCAUUUGUUCAUCA